rnacentral:misc_RNA from 1 species
GCCACACGUCCGUAUUGGUUUCGCGGUGAAAUCAAAACAGCGGCAGCCACGGAAACAAGAAGACACGGCUGCGUUGACGGCUCAUCAGGUCCUUCUCUUCAGCUCCUACCGGCACAUCCAAGAGCUGCGCGAGGCACUUUGUGCUGCUGUCUCAGAAUACGCAGUGGCCUGGCGGAAGUGCAGAGAGCAGAAAAAAAAACAUCUAUCGAGUCUGAGACGUCGAUCUCGUCCAUCAUACUCGCGUGAACAUGAGUGCAAACCCCGUCAUUCUCGAGGACACCUUCACGGUGAACGGUGUCAACACCGAAGGUACGGUGUACCUUCGAGUGUCGCGUAUUCGCUGUGUCAAUCAGGACGGCUCCCUCACAAUAACGACGGACAUCAACUCCGAGGAGUUCCCUGUUUCCACGAACGACCGCCUGACGAUCGUGCUGGCCAACUCGCUUGAGCUAGGGGGCAAGACGGGUAGCAAGUACUACGAUCACAGCGUUUACCACCGCGAGACGCGACUGAAUGACUGUGACUACGCCAUGCACGGCCGCGUCUACGGACAUGAGGUAGUCGAGAACGGCCUAGAGGUUAAUGUGCACAUUAGCUGUGGUGGCUUGCUAGUGAACAUUGUCGGCAAGCCGCAGGGGCUGCGAGAUGUGCACUACAACAGCGACGUGUACAUUCUGAUCAAGCGCGUCAAGAACUGAGAGACCAAGGAGAAAAAGCAUGCACAUAUGAGACUCGUCAUCGCCGUCGGCGUGCGCGUGGGAAUGCUGCGCCGUACGCUCGCGAUUUGUGUGCGUGUGUGCUCGUGUGCGCAUCGGCAUGCAAUUGUGUUUGUGUCAGUGCUAUCGUAAGACACGCAUUAAUUCAUCUCCGGCGUAAGAAGAGACCUUAAAUCGGCCAUGGGAGCUUUCCUACCACAGCAAAAAAAAGAUAGAGGGACGGACGACGGUGUCCCGUGAUGGGCACAGCGCUCGUCUGAUCUGACGCAGCGUACGAAGCCGCAGGUCUGCGUUGCCGUCUGCAAAGCUAUCGCAUGCGUAUCACUUCAGGGGUGCCCUACCAAAAGCGCGUCGCUUGAAAAGGGUGGAAUCAC